AUCUAAGGCCAUACCACCCUGAACAUGCCCUAUCUCUUCUGAUCUCAGAAGCUAAGCAGGGUCUAAUCUUCUUAGUACUUGGAUAGGAGACCACCUGGGAAUACCAGGUGCUGUAGGCU
ensembl:rRNA 5S_rRNA 5S ribosomal RNA